GACGAACGCUGGCGGCGUGCUUAACACAUGCAAGUCAGGGGGCUCCGCGAGGGGUCACCGGCGAACGGGUGCGUAACACGUGAGCGACCUGCCCUGGAGUGGGGGAUAGCCGGCCCAACGGCCGGGUAAUACCGCAUACGGCCUUCGAGCGGCAUCGCUUGGGGGCGGAAACCCGACGAGGGACGUCCUGGAGGGGCUCGCGGCCUAUCAGCUAGUUGGCGAGGUAACGGCUCACCAAGGCGAUGACGGGGAGCUGGUC
rnacentral:rRNA from 1 species